UGAACGCGUUGGCGAUGUCAAGGGAC
rnacentral:sRNA from 1 species